AGAACGAACGCUGGCGGCAUGCCUAACACAUGCAAGUCGAACGCUCUUGGGGCUUCGGUUCCAAGGGAGUGGCGCACGGGUGAGUAGCGCGUGGGAACCUGCCCUGUUGUGGGGGAUAACCGAGGGAAACUUCGGCUAAUACCGCAUACGCCCCGGGACUUGGUCUUCGGAUUAGGUCUGGGGGGAAAGAUUGAUCGCAGCAGGAGGGGCCCGCGUCGGAUUAGCUGGUUGGUGGGGUAACGGCUCACCAAGGCGAUGAUCCGUAGCUGGUCUGAGAGGAUGAUCAGCCACACUGGGACUGAGACACGGCCCAGACUCCUACGGGAGGCAGCAGUGGGGGAAUAUUGGACAAUGGGGGCAACCCUGAUCCAGCAAUGCCGCGUGAGUGAUGAAGGCCUUAGGGUUGUAAAGCUCUUUCGCCCGCGACGAUGAUGACGGUAGCGGGAGAAGAAGCCCGGCUAACUUCGUGCCAGCAGCCGCGGU
rnacentral:rRNA from 1 species